GCUGCCGCGACGCCGCCGCUUUCGCGGGCUUCGUUCUGGGAGAGACGCCGAGGGAGAGGAAGGGUUCGCGCGGGCCGAGAGUCGCGCUCGCAAGUGAGGCGGUGCGUUGAGCUCGCUUAAAAGGCUCGCCGCCCCCCGGGCCCGUGUCCUGUGUUAAGCAUUAAGCAGUGAAGGCCCUUUUACAUUUUGGUCGGUGGCGGGCGGGGAGGACUUCAUUUCUAUAUCCUUCUUCCCUUAACCCUCACUUGAUGUGGCGGGGCUUAAGCCACGGAUCAUGCUACCUGAUCCGGAGCUUGAGGUGGUUACCUGUUGCUGAGAGCGGGGGGGGGUGGAUUUUGCGCAUGCUCCCCACCACCACUAAAGAAAACUCGGUCCCGCUUCUUAUUGCUUCGUGUAUUCCAGAGCACGGCUGUAAUUGACGCGGAGAGAAACCCGAGGAGGAGUACAAGUACAACCCCACUCCCCCCCCCCUUUUACUUCAGUUUCCUCUUCAGCCCAUUCAGUGUGCGGCCUUUAAAUUGCUGCCCCUAUUCAAGGACUUCCUUUGGCCUCCCGCUUCUUUGGACUAGACACAGAAAUAAGAGGGCAGAAAUAAUGCUAUGCUAUAUAACCACGUUAAUGACGCUUCGGCAAGUUGAGGUUCUUUUUCCUUCACUUCGGCUGAACAGGUCGACUCAGCAUGCACAUUCAAACGUUAAAGCCUUUGCUUGGUUCUUGCAACCCCUUGCCAGUGCCCCCGCCCCGCCCGCCCGCCACAGAUGAGGUAGUAAUCCCCACCUACGCACCAGAGAUGUGGGAGCUAAACCAGCCAAUCUACUCUUCCAAGUGGGGGUUCGCAUCCCGCCGGCUCACUUGGCCAGGAACAAGCAUCUGUUACUGGGAUGCUGCCUGUUCUCUCGCCCUCUCCAAGUGGGCAAACUGGCAAGAGCAAAGAUGCAACACUGCUGAAAGAAGGAUCACGUAUAACCACCCCAAUGCCAUCAGAAGCACAAAUCAUCAUAAAAAGGAUGCAGAGAGAGGCCCUUAGCUUCCACUGGAUGAGUCAUUCAGCUCACUGGGUGGUAUCUCAUGGUGUCAAUCCACUUCUGGGAAGAAUCCAUCAUCAGAAUUGAAAGCAGAAUUGAAAUAAUUGGCGAUACCUCCAGCUUCCUCCAGUCCAUUUCAGAUCUGUUCCAUUGGGUCUCCCAAUCCUGUGAAACUGAUUUAGGAAAUGCGCUUGUGGCUUCAGUGGAUAUGGAAAAUUGCCAAAAAUUGCUUUCCUCCCUCUGCUCUGCUAAGGCAGCGUUUCUCAACCGCUGUUCCGCGGCACACUAGCCACCACCACGGGAGGGUGGUUUUAGACAAACUUAAAGAAGCUGGCUGGAUGAGCUCAACCUGAAACUUGCUGAGCAAAGGAUUGUGCUGGCAGAGAAAUCAGCGGCUUGUGAAGCCUUAUUACAGGAGAUUGCAACCAACACAGCAAUUGGCAAGUGUUUCUUACAGUCAUAAUUAUAUAGUCAAUAUAGGGUGGCACAGAGUUAAAUUUUUUAACUUUUUUAAUGGUGGUGUGCCUCAUGAUUUUUUUCAUGGAACAAGUGUGCCUUGGCCCAAAAAAGGUUGAGAAACACUGUGCUAAGGGAUCCCUUUCUUUCAGCACAUGGACACCACUGUCUUCUCUCAGGUGUCCAGCCUGUCCCGGUCUCCAAAUACUCUUUCUGAGCUUGCUUUAAGCUCUCUGGUGCCACUAAUGCUUCUACCUUAAACCACAAAAUUUAUAAUAUUAGUGUGAGUCCCUGCUGACCUGGCACUAAAGCGUCAGUGGAGAAAUUCAGGCUGGCUGCUAUGGGCUGUGCUGUUACUUCUCUGAGAAGCUGGUGCAGAAUGAGUGCUUGGGGCCGGAUCCUGAUCUUUAGUUUGCUGACACAAAUUAGCAGCCAGCCACCUUCCACUGCCGGGGGGUAGUACAUGGAGAAUCAGGCCUCUCUGCCUGAUGGAUUCAGAUAAACAAGAAAAGAGAACACUCAAGUAGCUAUCUGUGCUUUUCCAUAAGGACUUUGAAAAUACAAAGGCUCUUUCAAGUAGGCCAGGAAAAGCAUGCAGGAGAGACAGCAGCAGCAGGAGGAGAGUGAGUGGACAGCAUUUUCCAAGUGGAAACAGACAGCUGCUGUGAAGAGCCGAUGGGUGAGACGCCCUCUGAAAUCUUAUUACGGCGGCGGCUGAGAUCGAAAAUGAGCUUGCUGGCCUCAAUUUAAUUCCCAUUUGUUACCAUGUUAAAAAAAUGAAACCACUGCACAGAUUGUCACCAUUCAGUCACAGAAGACCAGGACUGUGGAAACAGGUGAUAGGCCAUACGGAUGAAAAAAUUUAUUGACCAAGACAUUGUAAUAAAGGAAAAGAUACAGAAAUACAAGUGUUCGUGCUGAGUUAGAUUGGGGAAGCUGGGCAGGAGGAGGAUGGCGAAUCUGGUGCAAUGGAGGAUCAUUUUUGUCAGGUGGAAAAAUAACAGCCAAUAUGUUGUUGUUUGGUUUUCGUAUAAUGUCUCACAGGUUCAUUUUUCAAACUGUAUAUCACAAAUAUAACCGAGCAAUAUAGAAAACAAAAAAAUAUGAAAAAUUAAGGGUUGAAGUCCAGGAAACCAAGGGCAAACACAGAGGAAGGAAUUCAACAUUGUGCUCUUCCAAUCCUUCAGCCUGUGCAAGCAAGGCACUGUUCUGGGAUUCUCCUGACUCACCCCCCCAAGCCAAUUUUGGGGGACACGGAAAGCGUAGGGAGAAGAGUUGGGAGAAUCCACAUUGUGCAAGCAGAAGUCCUAGUGGAGGGUUUCCACUGAUGGAACUGAUUAGGUGAAUCCCUUCCAUUGGGUCUUAAGUGGUAUUUAAAAGUUAAUACUGCCACCACUUCAUGAAUUGGGAGGGCAUGCUGGGGCAUGGAUGCUAUCACCAAAAAGGCCUGUUUCCACUUUGUCACAAAGUGAGAAUUGACAAUCCAGUGGUUGUGGAAUAACAGGGUCUCCAUAGAAGAUCUUAUAAGAUCUACUUGGUCUGUACUGCAGGUAGUGAUUUGUUAUAAGGUAUCCUGGUCCCAAAUUGUUUAUGGUUCUUUAUCUUUAAACCAGUCUCUGUCUGGUUCUCUGACGAUCCUUCAAACUGAGGACUGUCAUAUGCAAUGUAGGACACCUAACCCAGCAUGUCUAAGUAAGAAGUGUUUAAGGCAGAGGGGCCUGAGAUUUGGUUGUGACACAGGGUGAUAAUUUUUCACAUGCUUUCUCUGACAGGUAAUGGUGUUAUUUCUUAUGUUCUUAUGACCCAACUGUUGAAAAACCUAACACCAACUUCAAAGCAAAGAGUCAGGAGCAUGUUCUAAGUGCACUCCCAAUUUUUUCACCUCUUCCUUUUCACUCCAGGAUCAAGAUGGCCAGCUGACAAGCACUGGCAGGGGUGCCAACUUGAAUAAAAUCUGGGGGGGGGGUGUCCAGGUAAGCCCUGCCCUGCAUAAUCAAUCACAUGGCACUGUACAUGCAGACCAUUGGAAUGGCAAUGCCCAUCAACCUUGGGGGGGGGGCGGCGGUCUCCUCAAAUAUAUUAUUGGGUGGGGGCCGAAAGGGCCUCAGCUGCUAGGGGUUGGUUCCUAUGGGUCACUUUCAGCAGGAAUCUGCUGCACUCAGUGGCGUAGCAUGGGUUGCCGGCUCCUGCGGUGGGCAAGCUACUGACACCGCCAGAGUUCCAUGUGCACCAGCAUUCCAUGUGCACCAGAAAACUUGAUCUUGCAGAGGCAGCAGGAACAGAAGCAGCAGUAUGUGCAGAAGCUGGACAGCAGGGAGUGGAAGCUGGGGAAAGGGCAAAAGAACUGCUUAGCUUCCCACCAGCUCCACCCCCACGUUCUACAUUACAGCAACCUGACAACAAAUACAGUACAAAUAUUAGCUCCUCUGCACAGCCCUGACAAAACAAGUUCAUUGGCUGUGCUCCCAAGAUAGCAUUUUUUAUGAGAUGGGUAUUCAAAAAAAUCUUCUGAGAAAUACUGCAAUAAAUGCCCGUUAUCUCAGGAAGAGGCAAACAGCAUCUACUUCCGUCUUUAAAGAACACUUUGUGCCAUUUGUACUUUCUUUUCUUUUCUUUUUUUUAAGUACUGGCUUUGCUUUUCAAACCUCUCACUAUAUUGCUAUUGACCCAAUAGAGGGAUUCUCCAUGCCACCCUUUGAUGGGCUUGUGGGCAUCCUUGUACCAUCCUGUACUCUCUUAUUCCAGUAUCACUCAGUCUUUCUCACCAGACUUCAGUUCCUUCGGUUACACUCUUUGGAGCCUGGCUUAUUAUGUCUCAUUGGUUGGGCUCUGAUGUUCUCUACCUGGGGAGAUAGGGUGGGCAGGUCAGUUCAUCUGGAUGGAAAGUUGUGGUUUGUUUGUUUGUUUGUUUGUUUGUUUUAAAAAAUGAGAAUCAAAUACCUUCCCUUUUCAAAUGUAUCUAUUUAUGUGUUUUUCAAGUGCUUAUACCACCAAUAUGCAGCAAUGCACUUGAAGCAAUUCUCACAUUUUCUUAAUUUUUGCAGGUGUAACCUGGUGCAGGAGAAUAAGGACUGUCACAGACUGAGGAACCUGUGCCCCCCCCCAAUGUUGUUGGACUCCAAUUCCCAUCAUCCUCAACCAACAUAAUGGGAAGGAUGGUGGGAGUUGUAAUUCAGCAACAUCAGGGGGGCACAGGUUCUCUUUGACUACCAUAGCCCAUUAACUGCCUAUUUUUAUUGGAAAGUGAAGAUUCACAAUUGCCAUCACAACCUCUCAUCUGAGGGAAUUCUUCAUCAUCUGUUUCUCUGCUGGGUCCUGGUUUUGUUGAGAGAUUAUGGGUGAUGGUGAUCAGUUUUAAAAAAGCAGCGAUUAAUCAGGGAAUAAUGACAGUGUGAGUUAAUCAAUCAUGGAGCUAUUUAGACUUUGAUGGCUGUAUGUUGCCAUCGCAAGGAACAAAUAGACAGUGUCAGUAUGAAUAGUUUGGAUUGCAGCACAAGAGUUGGAGUGGGCUUCCUAUAUCAGCCAGGCAAUAACAAGUAUGCAUGCUUCCUAGCUGCUGGUGAAGAGUAGCAGCAUUUUAACAGAGGACUUCCUUUGUCCCUGAUUUCUCUAUCAUUCAACUCAUCCAUCAAAUAUGGAGUUUCUUGUAGUAAGCACUGAGUCAGAUGCAUGGGGCCCCAACAGCUGCAGGAUGAUAGGCUCACACAAGACAUUGCUAAAAACAGAUGAAUUUUCACAAGAACUGGAAAAUGUUAACUUAUGGGGCAAAAUAAAGCUCUUGCCUAGCUUUUUUUAGUUUGGAGUUUAUAUUUACAGUUAUAUUUUUAUUUUCUCAAGAAAACACACUGUCACUUGCAGAAAUGCUAGAUUUGUGCUGCUGUGCAUGUUUCCCUCGCUUCUUGCUAAAAAGAUCAAGAAGUGGAGUCAAAAGUAGAGGAAGCCCCAGAUCUGAACCUUCAUAUCUCCAUCUAACAUCUCCACAGCUGGGAAAUGCUACUGGCUGGGAAAACCUGAAGAUCUGAACUAUGGGGGCAGUUCAGUAGUACUGAGUUAGAAGAACCAUUGAUUGGACUCCAUAUGAAAUGGCUCCUCAUGAUCUAUGAUGGAAAUCUUCAGCAUUUUCAGACCUAACUGGACCCAUGAAUUUAAAGGACAUGGCUUAUCCCAAAGAAUCCUGGGAACUGGGAGUUGUAGCUCUGUGGGAGGGGAAACUUCAGUUCCCAUGAUCUUUUGGGGAGAAGCCAUGCAUUUAAAUCUAUGGUGUGUGACCUCAGUGGUAAGUGCUGUUUUACAGUGGAGCAGACUGUGCAAGGAAGGUGGCACACUCCUCUUUUCUGGAGGUGUUUAAAAUGAGAUUUGGUUGUCCUCUGUCAAUGAUGCUUUAAUUGCAUCCUGCAUUGAACUAGGGGUUGGUCUACAAUGAACUUCACAGUUUCUCUCUGUAAUUCUGUAGAUAAUUUCUUUGGAGGCUUUGUGGAUCCAGUGGCAUCAAUCACAUUAGAAACCCACAGAGGUGGAGGGAGCCAAGCACUUAGUCAUGUGUCUGGUCCAGUCACCAAAAUCUGAUGUCCUGUGUACCAUCAACAUGAUGCAUUAAAUGGGGCACAACUCUUCCCUGACCGCUUAGUUUUGCUUUUGUCAAAUUUCAUGGGGAUCUGAGCCAAGCAAUUUGCAGUUGAAGGGUUACUGUUUCAGUCAUUAAAAAUAAAUAUUAAAUGACCUAGGUUUUUUUUUUUAUUCUCUUAAAGUCCCAAGAAAGGGAAACAGUAAGUGGAAUCGACAAAUAGAUUUUGGAUGCUUUGAUGGAGUGGCAGGAUUUUUAAAAAGCAAAAAAACUGAAAGCAGGAAGUAAGGCAGAGGCUUCGUCUGCAUUGUUACAAUGCUCUUCUCCUUUUGCACAAUUCAAACAAGAGCUCAGUCUGCUUGCAGUGUAAACAAGGCAGGAGAACCAUGCCCUUUGUAAGACCCUGUGAGCCUUAUUCAUAGGGUUUGGUAAAGUUUAUACCCUGACCUAUGCAGAGUGUAGAAACCAGACUCUCACUACCACCAGGAGGAAGUUACAAAAAUCACUUCCAUGGAAGAACGUCUUUUCCUGAGGAGUUCUGGGAAAGUGCAUGGGGAGAUUUGUUGGCAAUUGUUCAAAUUGUGCUAACAAGGAAUCAGCAUUCCUGGGACAAAAUCCUAAUGCAUAGGAGUUGAGAUAGCCCUGCCACAGGGGAAAUGAUGCUGCUGCAGUGAGGGUCAUGGCAAUGUAUAGCCUCUCUUCUUCAAGCAGUCAGGGCAGAUGUGCUCCCUAGUGCUGGAGGAGGGGAGCACACAGAAUCUGUGUUAAACUGCUUAGAGGUCUUCUGUUGAGUAAGUGGUAUAUAAAUCUUGUUGAAUAAAACAAAGGGUUGUGGUGUUGCUGUUGUUUUUUAAAAAGAACAUUAACUAAAUGUCAGGGUGUUGCUCCUGGGAAAGGUAGCUUUCCUGGUAUUGAUCCAUAUUUUGUUUUUAAUUAAUUUUGGCAUAAUGCAAGUCCAGGCCCGCCUACCAAGCUGACUAACUUCUUAAGACAUUCAUUGACAGCUUGAAGCAAUCAGCGACAGGAAAUGGGCUGUCCCAUUGGUUUGGAAAGAGAAGGGCAUUUCCAAAUGUUGACACACUCUUCCUCAUUUUUACAAACCUUAGAAGUCCCAUAGCUGAUUCACAGAUUCCCAAGUUCCUGAUUUACAUGUUUCGCUGCAUGAUGGCAAUUUCAUCCCAAGCACAAAUUCAUGUGACUGCCAUUUGCCACCAAACACCAGCCUAGCUGCCUAAAGCUUGAUCGAGGUGUUCUUCUCCCUCCCUCCCUCCCUCCCUCUCUGCAUCUGGCUCUUCUCUAAAAGAGGAAAGCAAUGAGUAAUGUGUCUGCUAGGAACAAAAUUUCCCAGGAAAAGUGAAGCAUGCAGAUGUUGCAUUGCCUGAAGGUGCAAAAAGCAAUUUACUUAGCAUCCAUAGUGCUCAAAACUGGUUCUUCAAGUCCAGAUGCAAAGAAUGCAAAUGAGAGAGAGAGAGAGAGAGAAGAGAAGAGAAGAGAAGAGAAGAGAAGAGAAUUGGGACAAUGUGGAAUAUGCUGAAGGAGGGUCACAGACCCACAUCAUUGCUGCUUUUGUUGCUCUCAUUGCAAAACUGGUUUGUUUGGUUCAUGUGAAAUCAGUGGUCUAUGCUUAGCCAUAUAGUAAAGUAAAGCUGCAUCACACACUAUAGUUCCUGAUAAGGCAGGGACAAGGAACCUGGCAUCCUCUAGCUGGGGCUGGACUACAACUCCCACCGUCCUUACCAUAGACCACAGUGACUAGGGCUGAUGGAAGCUGGGGUUCAACAACAUCUAGAGGGCUUCAGGUACCCCACUCUCUCCAGCUGUAGGGAGAUGACCUUGGAUGGUUCAGAUUCUUGGUUUUGUAGGAGCCUGCUCUUUUACUAAGUUAACACUGUUCUGUUCCAUUUGGAAUAGUUUUGUGUUCUUGAAAUUGUAAUGAUUUUAUCUGUUUUUAUAAUUGCAUUUUCUACUGCUGUAGCUUGCCUUGGGACCUUGUGGUGAAGGAUGAGUAAGGUAUCUUAUCAGUAAAUAAAUAGUCCCAUGUUCUGCCUCCAGUGUCAGAAGGCAAUUAGGCUUCUGAAUGCCAGUUGCUGGGAACUGCAAGUGGGGAGAGCAAUACUCAGGUCCUGCUUGCAAAUUUCCCACAGGCACCUGGUUGGCCCCAGUGAGAAUAGGAUAUGCUAGACUAGAUGAGCCACUGGUCUGAUCCAGGAGGGACCUUCUUGUGUUCUUGUCAUAUUAUGAUAAAAUAGACCUUUCUCUGAUGGCUGUGUACAUGAGCUUUUAUAUUGCCCGCCCACUACAUGCAGAACGGGAAAUGUACAGGCUAAAUACCAUGUUUAUUGUGGGAAGCAUCUCUUAGAUGCAUGCUUAGAGUUUUGAAGGGGACUUAACAGCUAAAUAGAACCGCCAUGUUCCAAGGCACAAUGAUCUUGAAUGCCAGAUGCUAAAGACAAACUAAUGGGUUGUUCCCUUCAUGUCCUAUAUGUAGUCACUCCACCAGCAUCUAACUGGCCAUUGCUAAAAUAAGAAGGCAGGAAAAGAUGUAACUUUGUUCUGAUCCAGCAAGGCACUCCUUAUGUUCUCAUGUAGCAAAAGAAGAAAAGCAGCUGCAAUUUUCUUAAGUCUUCCAAUGCAGCCCAUAGCAGACAUAAGGCAAGCUCAAGAGCAGAGCCCAUCAUGCCUCCCUACUGCAAGGAAUAUAGCUUGUUCCAUUGAGAUGGUUUGCAAGCACAUUACUUGUCAUCAUAAAGCACAAUGUUAGACCAGAGCUCACCAUUUUGUUAGGAAAUGGCUUGCAGAAUUUUCUACUGGCUUGCACAGAUAACGGUUUGUAGUGCAGAGAUGCUACUGUGGUUCUUACGGGGUCAUCAGUGAGAGGCAACCACAUGGCUAUCUAUUUUUCAAGCAUGAAAUGGUUUUGAAUAAAAUGCUGGUGCUUUUUGAAAGCAAGCAAAGAAAACUGUCCUGUAAAAUCCAUAGUGUCUGCCACGUCCCCUCUGCCACUGCCAAUUCCUUUUAAGAGCCAUGACAUAAUGGAACAGCUAUAGUGAAAGGGUGAGUCUGGCCAUCUUUCUCCUCUUCUUGCACAGUCCUCUCAGAUAUUCUAAGAGUUGGCAAGUCUCCAUCGUAACUCCACCCUUUGCAUCGGCAUAUACCUCAAACAGCAGGGCGGUUUGGAAAGCUCACUGUGGAUCUAUGGGACUGAGCACCCUCCCCCCCCCCCAGUCACUGACCUCAAUUUCAUUGCACAGUAGACCUAUGGAGCUGAGGCAACACAUACAGCCAGCAUAAGGGGAAAGGGUGCCGUCCCAUGCCCAGCGACACAAAGCUGAACAUCAAGGCUUGCAAACCUUGAAGAUCAGAUAUAUUAUUUUCCUUUAAUGGUUCGUGGAUAUGCUGACUUAGUCCCCAACUCAUAAUCAUUUCCCCUUGUGGGCGAACUUCCUGACCUUUUCCUAUUGUUUUCCAUAAUUCAACUGGAGCUGUAGCAAUCACUCAUCUUACUCUUGAACUGAGGGUGUGUGUGUUGGGUUGACUAUUGUCUGCCUCCGCUGUGCUGCUCUUCAGCUCUGCCCCCAGCUCUCCUGUGGGUAUAAGACAGUCCAAGCCCCAGUUGCCUUUUUAAGCCAUGCAAAGAUUGCUAAAAGGCAGUACAAAUAAGACUUUCACCUUUUCAAUAAUCUCCCCUUGUUUUGGAACUAUUUCCACAUGGUUGUCACUGUUGUUCCCACUGCAAUCCUACACCUAUUUAUGGCUGGGGUGCAUAGCUGCCAAGAUUUCCCUUUUCUCGCGAGGAAGCCUAUUCAGCACAAGAGCAAAACCCCUUUAAAAAAGGGAUAACUUGGCAGCUAUGCUGGGGUGACAGAUGUCAUCAUCCAGCAACAUCUGGAGGACCACAGGUUUUCCACCCCUGGUGCAAGCCCUGCUGAACUUCAUGGAAUAAACGUUCUACAAGAUAUGCUGUACAUAAGGACAGCUUCUCAAACGUAAUAUGUGCAUUACACUGAGGGAUAAACUUCCCCAUGUGCAUCCUCUUGAUAUAUUUUUUUUUUGGGGGGGGGGAGGUAAAUACAUCAACUGCUCACUGUCCUACAGUCACCCAUGUGCACCAUCCAGAGGAGAGCAUACACACAAGUGGGAAGUAAGGGUAAGGGAGAUGGGUAUGCCUUGGAGCAGAAACAUUCUUAAUGCAUUUACUCUGACUAGGAAAAACUCUGUCUAGGAGAAAGGUGAGAAACGUGAGCUGAGCAGCACAGGAACUUCGGGUUGGAUUACAUGAUCUGUCAGAAGAAUUGGAUGUCCAGGGAUUGGAUUUCGUUUCAUUGCCGACUGCAGGCUUUUCAGAGACAUAGCCGACAAUUCAGUUCCAGGGAUGGGGAAGAAAUUUGCUUAGGUUCACAUGGUAAUGUGGCCCUGCCUAAUUUGAAUUACCCCUAAACAAUUCAGGAACCAAAACUCAGCUCUCCUGCGAAAUUUGCAAUUCUUUGAAUUUCAUGAUGCUGUUCUCUAGCCCCCCCCCCAAGAAAAGUGUACAAAAAGUGUAUAUUAGAAUAAAAUGUGCAUAUCAGUGAUGUGAAAACAAUAGACCAAAAUGCAUUAUAUUAGGGGAAAUUGCAUAAAAAUGUAUAGUUAGGACAACAUUGUAUACACAAAUGUGUAUUAGGAGAAAUUCAUACUAAAAUACUGAUGAAUUUUUGCAAGGGCUUUUGUUUAAAAUUGCAAAAUGGAUACAGAAAUGUCCAGAACUGAAGUUAAGACUGGACAAACAAGCCACCAAGAAAAUCUGAUAUUGACAAAUUCAUCCAUGACUAUUCAUUUCGUAGGGUUGCCAUAUGUCCUCUUUUUCCAGGACACACCCUCUUUUCCAUGGGUAGAGCCAUCAUAGCGAUCCAUAGUUAAAAAUAGAAGUCAAAAAAUGUGUCCUCAUUUUUGUUCUUCAAAAUAUGGCAACUCUAGCUGUGCUGAGGAAAAGCACAUGGUACAACUUCCCUCUUGGGACUGGUACCAUGUCAGAAUACAGGUGAGGGAUCACAUGUUUCAAUACUCACUCAAGUUGUUUUUUAUUUUUUUUAAAAACAAGUUUCUGCCAUAGAAAACAAGCAAAUUAUUAAGAAAAGUUUCUUAGACUUCUUACUGAGAUGCCUAAGGUUUUGUUUGCACUUCAUGGGAAGCCCGACCAUGGCUUUCCAGCGCUGCAUGUAUGUGCUGGCUCUCAGAGAGGAGUUCUUCUCUGCCUUGCUCCUCCUCACUUAAGCUAGCGCAAUGCAGCAUGGCAGCAUGGCUUAGUGUGUCAUCCAAGCCCAGGGUCAUACUUAAGGUCUCUCCUCCUUAAUGAUGAUCUGUAAUCAUACUGUAGGUCAAACACAUAGUGGUUAAGGAGGAGUGACCACAUGAAUUUUUGCAUCCAGUUGUAACAUUUGUUACAGUUGUUCUCCCACAGACAGCAAAGCUUAUGUCUGGAAUUGUGUGCAACAGCUGGUUGGAAUAAGUCACAUGACUGAAAGCUUCUCCAUCCCUUCCCCCACCCCCAAGAACCCCUUUGUCCUGCAGAUGGAAAACUCUCGUAUCAAGGAGAAGUGCUCUAGGUUAUUUUUUCCCCUGGACUGUUUAUUACUGUGUGCAGGAAUUUUUAUAUUUAACCAGGAUUAUCCUCAUCUGUACUGAGAAAAAGAAGCUCAUGGCCAAGCAAGGACUUGAACCGAGGUCUUAUCGAUUUAAACCCAACACUCUAACUACUGCAUGUUCCGUGUAACUGUAAUUAACAGGGCAGUGGGAGGGGAGAAAAGAGGGUGGUGAUACAUAAUAUUUUCCCUGCACACCAUUUCUUCAGUACAAAUGACAUAGCUUUCCUGCUGUUUGAACCAGACGGAAGCAGAGAAAUGACGGGAGGAAAGGAUUAAGCACCCCUGCCCUUUGCCAUUUCUCGGUUUAAAAUUCCUCAUCCCAGCCAGCUUCUUUUCUUUUAAAAUGUUCCAUACCUUUAUACAAACAACACGUAGUUAAUCCCUACACCAAAGAAUAUACAAUUUCUCCGGAGGAACUGGUGUUGCUUGGCCCAUUCGAUCAGAUGCAAAUGGAAGCUUCCUGUCUUAUGUGUCUUCCUGGAGACAGCUUGAUCAGGAGGUAGGACUUGCCAGCAGCUUCUGCCUAGGCAAGUGUGUUCAAUUAUGCAGCACUAACAGCUUUGUCGUUCCAGCCUGCCCAAAAUCCUGGUGGACUCAAUCGUCCUCCUCUUUUUAUAUUAUUAUUAACUGUUUAUUGGUUUAUAAUAUGAUACACAGUCUCUGUGGUGCCUUGGUGCAUAAUGGAGAGUGGGUGGUGGAAGAGGGAGAUCUUCCUUUUCGAUCAUUUGUUCAAACAAAGCAGUACUUAAUGGUGGACUUUUAGCCUAUAACCAAAUCAAAGGUUUACUGUUACAAAGAGCUGGAAAAACACAAAGCCACUCCCUGAGAGCAAAGGGUAGCAUCGUAUAUACUAAAAGCAACCUCAGUGUUCCAAGCGACACUCCAUACAUAGUCAAAAUGGCCCCAAGGCUUCUCAGGACAAGUAUCUGAGAGGGAACCAUGGAAAGCCCAAAUAACAGGCCAUUGAAGAGUGAGCCUGCUCAGUGGUGACAGAAUGCUUACUGACUGCAGGGGUGGGAGUGGGGAAGACAGAUGCUAAGGGGAACUGAAUGGAGCAUCCUGAACAGGAAGAUUCCACAUUGCAACUGCAAUUCUAUCCCAGCAUUUCAUCUGUGGUGGUGCGGCCUCUGCCAUUUGUGCAGGUACUAUGGUCAAUGCCAUCCUUUAUGCAGAAAUAUUGGAGGGGCCCACAUAGGUUGAAAAACUUUGGCACCAUAUGAGCUCAGAAGACAGGGCACAGACAAGUCAUUUCUAUGGCAGCUAGGGAAAGAUCACUGAAAUUACACUACAUCCACGGAGCGGAUAGGGAAUGCAUUAGGUCAGCAGUUCCCACCUGGUGAACUACAACUCCCUGGGGAGCCAUGGGUGGGGGACGCCACAGGCAGCACUGGCCUCCAUCAUUCCCCUCUCUCUCCCUUGCUCCUCUUAACAGAUAGAUCUAGCCCUCCAAGUCCUCUGAAUGGCGUAACUAAACCUCCCAUGAUAUCCCCGCUGCUUGGCUACAUUGCAUUCUGCAGCGAGCAUUUUUCUUCCCUGCCUCCUUUCCUUUCCUCCCAAUCCUUUUCCUCCUGAUUGGCUGUGGUGCACUUGGCUGUAGAAACAGACAGACAGACAGACAGAUCCCUAAAAUGAACCAGACUCCAUGUGGAAAUGGCACGUGUUCAUUGAUCGUCCUUCCCAGCAAGGCUUCUGGGGGACUGAGACGUGUAAGGCUUGAUUGUGGGGGGAGGGGGCUGAGCACAGAGGAAGAAGGUAGGGGGAGCCUUUUCCUGCUGCCUGAUUCCUGCCCACCCCCAACCUCUAUCUCUUUCUACCUGCUGGAAAAAGAAGGAGACUCUUUUGUUCAGUUUGGGAGAUUAUAAAAGAUAACGUGGGUGGGUUGAAGGGUAAAGUUGAGAGGAAAGCAGAG